AGUUAUUCUAAUUUAUGCAGUUAAAGCUCUGUGACAGUAAAACUGUUUCCCCCAAAUGCAUUUAUAUCCUCAGGAUACCAAACCUUAAGACUAGAUAGAAGUUACCAAGGGAAAGAUCAGCACACACUACUCUUGAACUACAUGCUACGCCUCUUCUUCCUGGGACCUCAUGGAUUCAAAUGGCUUAAGAGAACGGGAUGAGUUGUUGAAAAUUGUCUUUUCAAAAGACCUCACCGAAGGCCAAAGACAAGACCCAUUCAGUCCAAGGUAUACGUGUGCAUGUGCUAAUGCGUGGGGGCAGGGAUUGAUGGAGUUAACAAAAUGUGCCCAAUCUGCAUCUUAGACAGGAAAAAGAGAGACAUGGGUGAAUUCCAAUUUUCAGCAUGAAUCAAGAGGAAGAAGAAAACCUUAAAUUUCAUCUGCUUCUCCCUGGAAAUGUCAGGCAGCUGCUUCUUUUAUUUUCUAGGCGCCAGAGGCUUCUGUGAAGGGCAGUGCGGAUCCAUGCUUCUUCAGCGCCCCCACGGCAUUAUGCACAGAAGUGGCAGCUGCUGGUGUGGCAGGAUUAAUGAAGGGGCAACAAUCUGGCUGAAGCCACACUUGUGUAACAAGCCCACUGCUUUCACUUCACUUCCAUGGUUGUUUAGUACCUUGGAGUGAGGUGGUGGAUUCUGCUACAUGUACUCUUCCCAGGAAUAUAACCCAGGUCGUCACCAUGAAAGCAUGAACCUUCAGUCACCCACCCAAGAGGAUUCACAGACACAUUUCAAGAAUUUUCUUGAAUGGACUAUGCUUAUAGACCACCUGGUCAGGGAAGGAAGGAGGCCAGGGCACUGAAGGAAGGCUUCCAGCCAAGGAGAGCAGGCUGGGGGUGAGAGGAAGAAAGGGAAGGAGGGGUUGAAGUAUGAUUGAAGUGAGUGCAGUUAGGUCACAGUUUUGCCUGGGAGAGACGUGCUGGGUCUAAGAUGGCGCUGGUUACUCUUUGUGCCCAGCUCUCUUGCCCUGUCUGCACAGCUCUUCCUUGUGACCACUGGGUGUCAAGUAUUCCCUUUCUGCUUUCACUUGCCUUGGCCUUUCAUGGGUAGAAUUAGAUAUCCUGCCAGACAAACUCUGCCAAGAGCGGUCUCUGGUAUUUAGAGUUACAGACGUUAUUGUAAUAGGUGCCAUUCUAUAGGCCAAAGGUAGACGGCUUAUCUUUAGGCGACCGUGACACCCAUCAGUGAGGCUACAGAUCGCACGUCCAUCAUACCAUGACCGUCAGGCACAAAGUAUGGAGAAAAAGACUCAGAAGAUCCAACCGUUCAACCAAGUUCCAUCCUGGUACCUCACGAGAUAUGACAAUUUCCACCAGCCUCCCUAGUCUCCUGCCCAAUAGCUCUGAUCAAAGGAAUGCUAUUGUCUUUGGACUCAAGAUCUGCACCUGUUUCCUUCCCUAGGGUGAGAAGUGGCUAUAAACAUCUGUCUUGACCCUGCAUCUCCCAAUACACUGUCGUGAAA